GAAAAGAGUGUGUUUCUCGUCUUGCACAUCAGCACAAUCACACCUGUCGCAAAUGUUUGAGCCACCCUGCCAUUUACAAGACUCGACCUUUAAGCAGUGAGCCCAAAGUCUAAACCUGCUCACAUUCCUCAUGACUCCUUUGUCCAGAUCCCUAAAUAAGUAAGAUGGAAUACAAAAAGGAGUGCGUGCUGUUUGAUUCAAAGGCGUCCC
rnacentral:lncRNA from 1 species